GUGCCAGCAGCCGCGGUAAUACAGAGGGUGCGAGCGUUAAUCGGAUUUACUGGGCGUAAAGCGUGCGUAGGCGGCCAUUUAAGUCAAAUGUGAAAUCCCCGAGCUUAACUUGGGAAUUGCAUUCGAUACUGGAUGGCUAGAGUAUGGGAGAGGAUGGUAGAAUUCCAGGUGUAGCGGUGAAAUGCGUAGAGAUCUGGAGGAAAUACCGAUGGCGAAGGCAGCCAUCUGGCCUAAUACUGACGCUGAGGUACGAAAGCAUGGGGAGCAAACAGGAUUAGAUACCCUGGUAGUCC
rnacentral:rRNA from 1 species